AAAAUUACCCUGCUAUUUGGGAGAUAAGGCAGUAAAUAAAGUCCUGAACUUCUCAUCAUGAAGAGAAAGGUUUCCUCAGUCAAAGGAAAACAUGGAGAUAAAAUAAAAGUCCCUCUCAUGGCAUGAAUCACGAAAGCACUUAAGCACCAGCUCUGACUGAAUUCACUGAGAUUUAUUUGUUUGUUUAUUUAUUUAAUGUCAGUCCCAUCAGAACAGUUAAGUCCAACAGCAAGCUCUGAGCAGAAGCCCAGCAACUCCAUCAGGAGUCAACGCCCCUGUAGUGUGAAGCACAGAAGCUUAUAUUUCCACUUUCUGCCACACUGAGCCCAGAAAGAAAUUCAUUCUGCAGCGCUUUUAUAACAAAGAACUAUGCCUGUCUUUUACUGGAACCAGAACCUCUACCAUGGUCACAGAACUAAAUGUGUAUUUUCAAAUGUACUUAGUUCAAAGAGUAUGUUCAUGAAUGAAAAAACUUCUGUAUGUUUGGUACCGCGUUCCAAUACAGAUUGUAAGCAAAUAGGCAAAUUAAAGUGAAUUGGAGCUUUCAGUGACUUCUCCUGUGCAGCUAUGCCUGGUGAAUUUAACUGAAUCAAUGAAUAAACCUCUUCUUUUAAAUGAAUGUUGGAAAAGAGAAAAGUUUUACAACAGUGCCAAUGACCAACUGAAGUUCUCCUCUAUUCAGAAGCAGUCCCUGAUGAACUCUGAAGCUAUAAAUGGAUCUCUAUGUGUUUCAAAAAGGACUCUUUAAAACAAUAAGGAAUUCACACAAUUCUAUGAGGUCUAACUAUGAAUACACAGAAAGUUAUAUGGCAUAGGUUUUCAUUUAUUUUGUUGCUCUUUUACAUUUUCCAACAUUUAAUAGUGCUUGGAGAACUUUGUACAUCCAUUAUGUGUGGCGGUGUAUAGACCCUCUUAGUCAGAUUGUUACAAAGGGAAUUUAGUAUAGUAAUGAAUAAUGAAAACAUUAACCACAUGACAGAGGCACACUGUGUUUUGGAGUUGUAGGUGUUGUGGCAGAUCUUCAGUUAUGACACCCAGAUAAUUGUUGAUGACAAACUCUGUAUUCUGAAGCUGCCGCACUCCCACAAAUGGACCUUUGUUUGGCUUUAUGGAUGUAAGCAAGACCUCCUGCUGCGCUGCUGCCAGCACACUGCCAUCACCAAGCCCACAUUUCCAGCAAACACUAACCCACCCUCACACAGAGUAAGAAGUCAGAAGAUCUCACACUGAGUGCAUAGAGAGCAGCUGUACGCAAAAGUCUGAAGAGAAAACUUGCUGGAGCCCCACAGUCCAUUACCUGAAAAAGACAAAACCAUGCUCCAGAAGCAAUUCCACAGCAAGUAAAUGCCAUGUGCUCCAUAGGCAUUAGUUCAUUGUCUGACUGUGCUCAGGAGACAGAGUCUGUCUCUUCAAACUCUCACUUCCAGAUGGCAUUGUCUUAUCCAGAGUGGCAUCAGAAAUGACCAACAAAAGCAUGAGGCUAAAGAAGAACCUCUUGCUAGAAAACACCAUGCUGGAUGUCUCUCAAGUGAGUAUUUGCAAGUGGUUUGAUUUUCAGAAGGUGUUAGUGUAUGUCAGUUUCUCUAGCGGGGGACUGACUGCAGGGUAUUCUGCUCUUUGAAAAACAGGAGACACACAUAUAUAUAUAUGUGUAUAUCUCUCUCUCUAUAC